rnacentral:rRNA from 1 species
UACGUAGGCAGCAAGCGUUGUUCGGAAUUAUUGGGCGUAAAGCGCGUGUAGGUGGCCGUGUAGGUCCGCUGUGAAAACUUGAGGCUCAACCUCAAGCUGUCGGUGGAAACCACACGGCUAGAGUCCGGAAGAGGAGAGUGGAAUUCCUGGUGUAGCGGUGAAAUGCGCAGAUAUCAGGAAGAACACCAAUGGCGAAGGCAGCUCUCUGGGACGGUACUGACACUGAGACGCGAAAGCGUGGGGAGCGAACAGG